GCCAGAGAUGAGUAGGGGAGCAACUGUCCCCAUAAGAGGAGUCCAGCAGAUGGGCUGGAGAAGCUGGUAGCAGAGCAGAGAUCAGCCCUGCGAGGGGCACAGAUUCUGCACCAGCCAGAGGUAUUUGCUUCCUUCCAUCAGACCUGUGGCUCACACACUUUGAAUCCAGGUCCAAGUGGCAGAGCAAUGUACUCAUGGCCUCGUCUGCAGUCCAGGGAGCCAUUCCAUUGGCUUCACUCAAGCCCCUUAGCUCUGCCCAAGAAUAAAUUUGAUUGGUAACGUAGGAUCUUCCUGCCUCCAGCAGGUGGAACAGGCUUCCAAGGCAAUUUGGUGGUGCUUUUACAGCACUUUCCAAAACCAUGUGGAAAUGAGCUGCCACAGCUCUUCCAACCUAACCUGUGACCAGGAAUGUCAGUGCUGUAUCAGUGACACACCACAGUGGGUUCAUCCUGGCCUGAAUACACGCUGGUCUCAAAGAGCACAUUUCUCUGUUGCAAUUUAAGGAAAGAAGAGAAAGCUGAAGGGGGAACUGUAAGAACUUAGUUUGACAGGACACUUGAACACUGGUUUAAGUUCAAGCAACCAUGUUGUGAUCAACAGGUAUGCUGUAAAGCAGAGAUGAUAAAGGAGUGCUGCAGGAGGAUCGGACUUCUUGAAGGGGGAUUUGGAAGAGCAUUUGCAAGCCCUUCCAGACAAAGCUUGUGUGUCAUGAAGCUGGAGAUGAUUGGAUGCCCAUUUGGAUGGAUCUUCAGCCUGCUCCACGUCCCCUCUUCAGCAACACUUGUCCUGCGUGUCCUGAAGCCAAUGUUCAGCCCUGCGCGCAGAGGAAGAGCCUCUCCCCCUCUCCCUGAGCCUUGCUGAGGAAUCCUAACUCCAUGAAGUUGUUACAGCAGUGAGUGCUGUGUUGCUGCCUGGUCUGUUGGAUGAGGGGAACAGGGGCUCAGCAUCGCAGACAGGUUCUUGCAGAAGCUCUGGCAACCCUGGGAGCAACAUUCACACCUCUCAACCUGCUUACACAGGUGCUUUCUGAGCCUAAGAAUGCAUAGAGAGGUGCAGCUGCCCAUGGAAGGUGGCACCAAAUCCCUGGGAUAAUUCUGACGCUGCAAUCAAAGCAUCAAAGUGUUUGGAAUGCAUGCGGAACCUGGCUGGGAUGAAUUGCUGCUGAAACAUUUCUGCGCCAGGCUCAGGCAGCCCAUACCCGAGAGGCUUUUAUGCAACACGGGCUUAUCCCAGGUUUCACAACACUGACCUUCUGACCGUGCAAACACCGUACAAAUACAGCAUUUCUGCUACCAGGACCACGUGAUGGCCGUGCAGGUGAUUAAACAGCAAUGCUUCAAAGUGCGCUCUGCGUGGGGCGGAGAUGUGGGAGCAGCAGUGUCCCCAGCGCUGGGGCUGCACGCACAACCCAGCUUUUCCCAGCUCUCCGAAAAACUGUGGCUGUGCAGACGUUGGUCAGAGCUGCCCAGAUGAUAGUUUAUGUUUUCCAAUCUGCUGUGAAAACACAGAUAAUGCGCAGAGGCUCAGCCGGACAGGACUGGCGCGGGCUGCGCGGAGUCACUGGGGACAGGAGGGAGCGUACCCAGCUGGGAGGAAGGGAGGGAAAUCAUUUAUACUAAUAAACCAAAGCCUAUUAUUACACCAGUAGUAAAACAACGGCAGCAGCAGGCCUGCAAUUUCCUCAGUAAUAAUCUCAUUCCCUCGGUGGGAUAACAACACUGCCGUUGGCCUCGUAAUUUAUCCACUAGGGUACCAGCCCUUUGUAGCACAGCAGCCUCCUCAUUACCCAGGCAAUGAAAGAAGUGCCCUGUGUUAUUAACAGGCUGCCAGGACACACAUGAGGGGCUGAGGAGCACGUGCACCCACCAGACACAUCCUUGGAAAGCCAAGGACCCUACACACACGUGCAUUUUCCACAGCAGCAUCCUGGGGUUAAAAGGAAAAAAAAAAAGAAAAAAAACAAAGCAGAUAAGAACCAAGCUGAGAGACACAAAGCGUCCUCAUCCUUAUCCAACAAUCUUAUCUGAUCAGUGCCUCGGCAUUUCAAUUCCCAGCCCGCACUACUGAUGCGCUGCAGAGCAGCCACAGGCCAAAAGCUCCAAAAUCAGGGCUGGAGCCAAGGUCCUUCGUGUCACUUCGUGUUUAGGCAAUUAAAUAACUGCUCCUGCAAGGGGACAGCAUGGCAGGUGCCAAGCACACAGCUGCUUGUGCUCAACACUUCCUCGGGCCGCUGGGUUGGACCCCAACACACCACAGCUGCUCACCUUCAGAAGGUCAUGGCUUCAUGUUUUCUGAAUUGCUUUCCCAUGAUUUCUGUAGCUAAGCUUUCACUUUGGCAGAACCACAGCUUUGUAUCCCUUCCAUCAUGAAGUCCAGCUGCAGAUCGGUUCCCUGCACAUGUAUGCCUUCAGAUUAACUUCCCUUGCUUGGCCCUUUUUACACCCUGCUCUACCUGGGCACGCUCUCCAAGGCUUUUGUCCAUCUCCCAGAAGCCUUAUAUAAUGGGACUGAGAGAGCAUGUAUGCUGGACAAUCAUAGAAUCAUUAAGGUUGGAAAAAAAACCACCAAGACUGCCAAGCCCAAUCAUCCACCCACCCCCACCAUGCCCACUGACCACGUUCCACAUCUCCACGGUUUCUGAGUGCCACAAGGGACGGUGACUCCUCCAUUUCCCUGGGCAGCCUGUGCCAGUGUCUCACCACUCUUUCUGAGAAGAAAUUUUUCCUAAUAUCCAACCUGAACCUUCCUUGGUGCAACUUAAGGCCAUCACCCCUCGACAAGUUGGCAUCAACGUUCUUGCACCCCUUCCUACAGCAACACACAAACACAUCCUGUACUGACCGAGGGAAGCAGCCUUCACACACAUUAACUUCACAUUUUGGAGUGGAUUGUAACUUACUUCUGGGCUUAACAACUGCCUGCAAAACAUUAACAAUUCCCCAACCAAAAUCCAUUGCUUUCUUCUAGUUCAUAUUAAUCUCUGUUUUUAUUAAGUCUAUCACAUCUCAAUUACUCCUGCCCAGUGACCUUGCUAGCUCCAAUGAAGGACAAAAUGAUAAAGCUUUGUGACGAAGCCCACGAACACAGAAAUAUUUCACCCAAACCUAUAGUGCUAUUAUUGCUCUUAACCAGAACAGGCUAUUUAAAAAAAUAAAAAAUAAGUGCAUACAUGGUGACCUUGCUGGGUUUGAGUGCUUCCUGAGAGUCAGGAGAAGCAUAUGAAUCCAUAGCAUCAUCCAUUACAGAAAUCAAAUCAUCUUUCACCUGCUUCCUUAACAAAAUCCAUGCUGAUAAUGGUGCUGCUACACCAGGUAUUGCCUCAGUGUGGGAAGACGUUGUGCUUCAGUGAUGCAGGGAAGCUCCUUCGUCCCUGUGGGACUCCAAGAGAUGGCCACAGUGAGCAGAAGGAUGGCAUGAUUCUAUGAUCCAGCACUAUACAGGUGCUCAUGCCAGGAACACCUGGGCUUGGUCUCCAGUGUCUGCAUGGCCAGCACAGGUAACACUGUGGUAUGUCAUGGGAGGGUUCCUCUUGCUUCAGCCUAUGCAAAACAGCCAGGCAGAACGAUGCAUAGCCAGUUACAAAGAGAGAUGGAAAGACCACACUGCAGCCCCUCAAACAUAACGCAGAAGGAUAAGCCCUUUGUUCUUUGGAAUCAUAGAACCAUAGAAUCGUGACAGUUGGAAAAGACCUCUAAGAUCAUCUAGUCCAACUGUCACACCCCUACCAUCUAUAUUUCAGCAGGACACACAGAACAUCACCCAACUCCACUGGCUGGGGCCCCUCCUGCCCUGGAGCUGUGGCUGUUUGCAAGCCCUGGAGCUGUUUGCAAGCAGCUGAGUUGGGUGCAGAGACGUGGGUGAGGUCUUCUGGAAGCAGAGAAGAUUUUGACUAGGUUUAGACCGGACCAGAAGAGAACAUAUGCAGCUUUGAUUAAGUUAAGAACUGCAGAAUCAAACUCAUUAUUAAUCUAGCUUGACGCCACUGCAUGUUGUAAGGUCCUUUCUAAACCUGUCACUGCAAUUUAUCAUGCCAGCAAUGUAAUAAAAUACAGCUAUAAAAUUUUGGAUUAAAUGUUCAAGGUCAGCGGUUGACUUUCAGCUUCCCAAUCUCUUGCUUGCUGCUGUAGCUGAUGCUCUAUUAAGCAGUUACAAGCUCUGGGAGAAAGUUUCUUUGGAGAAAAGACUCGGUUGUGGGGCAUCUCCAGAAUUAAAUCUUCAGACAUUUCAUCCAAUUUCAAAACAAUAAAUAAUAAAUAACAAGAGUAAUGAAUACUGCCUGGCUUUGGGAUGAGGUUUUAUCUUCAGAAACACUCUGGUUUUUGUUGUGUUUUCAAGAAGCGGCUCUCUGUGCCUGUCUUUGUAAAACAGGCAGAAGGUGAUUCCUUAAUUUUUGUUGACAUUUGGAGAUGUAAGAACAGCACCCUGGGGAUGUGGGGAGCACCACAGUACCUACAGCAAGAUGAAGAUCAAGACUCCACUGCACUACACAAGCUCUAACAGCUGGUUGUAAUAUAAGGCCUUACUUCUGCCCAGUCCUCAAUGCCUUUAAGCCUUAGAGAAGCCCAGUGCUGCUACAAGGACAGUGCUGCUAUCAGUAGAGUUGCAAUUUCACUCGUAGGUUGCUCUGAAAGUAGUGCCUCCUACUUAUUCCUAUGGUAACUACGACAGACACAAAGAGCACAAUAACACUGUUUGAUAGAGAAGAGCACCGGGCUCCCUGCUUUGCUGCACACUGAUCCAAUUUUACUGACUGUUUGUGAGCAACGGGAUUGUUUUCUGCAGCCUUGCUCAGAUUACGAAAUGCAAACACAUGCUUUGUUUACAGCAAGGAGUGCCCCCUAAAAACAAGUCCCUGCAUCAAAGAGCAUGCCAAGGAAUUGAGGGACUGCUUCCUGAGGGUGUUUGCAAAGAACAGCUGCUAUCUGCGGGGCAUUGGGCGCUCCUCAGGUGUGCUGCCAUAGGCUGGUAGCACAGCAGAGAGGGCGAAGCAAGUUGCUCUCUUUGCUACAUUUCAAGCAGAGCAGUGGCACCAAGACUUAGCUCUGCAUUGUAACAUGAAGGAUCACAAUAGGUUCUGAACCAAGCAUUGCUUCCAUUUCACUAUAAAGCAUCAUUACUUUCAUUAUCAGCUACACCACAGUGUGAAGAAAAAUACACCCUUUUUGGUAACAAAGAAUAUUUCCAGAAUUGAUUUAAUAGCAAAGAUAAAUUCUGAUGAUGUUUCCUGCAAUCACUGAGCCUAUUUUCUGUCUAUCUCCAAUUGUAGACUUUAUCAAUGGCUGACCAAGACUCUCACUGAGUCAGGAAAGUGCUAUCACAAUUUUUUAUUUUAUUUUUUUUUAAAAAGAGAAAAAGCAAACUCAUGUACUGCUUUGCGACUGAUAAGAAUGAUUGACCCUAGUGAUUUAAUUGCUGUGAUUAUAACCUGCCACAAGAAACAAGCAGCUGCUCUCCUCCGUGCUCGCCCCUGGCUGAGUCCCUGUUAUUUCACACUGCCAUUAAGUUAUCUGACUUCUGGACGGCAAAGCACCGCUGCCACCUCCAGCCAUGUGCCCUGUCCUGGCCAUGCUUUGUUUGCAUAUCAGGGGCGAGAGAAGAACCCCACUCCAAAGAAACACCCCUUC